AUCGAACGCUGGCGGCAGGCCUAACACAUGCAAGUCGAGCGAGCGGCGGACGGGGGAGUAAUGUAUGGGGGCUGCCCGCUAGCGGGGGAUAACUACUGGAAACCGUAGCUAAUCCCGCCUACUAUCGGAUAACCCAUAUGGGAUGAGCUAGUAGGUGAGGUAAUGGCUCACCUAGGCGACGAUCCCUAGCUGGUCUGAGAGGAUGAUCAGCAACACGGGGACUCAGACACGGCCCAGACUCCUACGGAGGCAGCGGUUGGGAAUAUGGCAACAUGGGCGCAAGCCUGGUGCAGCCAGGCCGCGGAUAUGAUGAAGGCCGGAGGUGUGUAAAGUCCGUGCAGUAGGGAGGCGUUCCCGUCAGAAGAAGCAUCGGCUAACUCCCUGCCAGCAGCCGCGGUAAUAC
rnacentral:rRNA from 1 species